ACUAGAUGACCAUUGGCUAACGGCAGCAGCUCCAUCAGCAAUAACAAACUAGAAUUAUCACCCAGAUUCCGCAGCAGUAGAUACAGCAACAUCACCUUUAGACCGAAUUGGCCACAAAUCGCUCGACAGCAGCAACAGGAUAUAAUCGGUCAACCGCAAACACGCAGCAAGGUGCUCGGAAAGAACUUUUUCUUUCGAGCAAACAUGUGAUGGGAGCGCAAACAGGCCAAUCGUGUGUUAUCCUCGGUUUUCUGUCACCCAAAAUCCGCGGCCUAAUCUGUCACCAUUAAGCUAAACGAGAGCCAGUAUUAUUCGAAAUGUGGAUACUAGGUCAUUAGUAUGUACGAUCCGUCCAGUAUGGAUACCUCUUCAGGCAUGUCCAAACACGCCACGGCACCGCGUGCUGCAUUUUACCACCGCAACCGAGUGUAUUGAAAUGAGCACCCCAAGCCAAUGCUCGAUGCGAAGCAGCGAUACACGAUAAACGAAGCACCUGUGUCGGUGGCGGUGUUAAAUUUUCGAUCCGGUGCUUGGAUGCUUCGGAAAACACUCGGGCCGGGUGCUUUAAAAUUUCUGAAGCACCGGAGCCGAGCGCUUUCAACUUCGGAUAACACCUCGGAAACUCUUUGAUUUUGCACCCGUAUCAAAGCGAGAAUGUUUAAGCCCGCUAGCAUAUGCACAAAAAGAAAGAAAAAAAGAUUUUUCGGUGCGACGGAAUAAAAGAGAACAGCAAAUAUACUUCUAUUAUCACGGCAGUUUGAUUUUUAGUUAGAUAUGUAAUUAUAAAAUAUCCAAACUCGAUGCAAGUAUAGAUCGCGGAU